ACGUAGGGUGCGAGCGUUAAUCGGAAUUACUGGGCGUAAAGCGUGCGCAGGCGGUUUUGUUAGUCUGAUGUGAAAGCCCCGGGCUUAACCUGGGAACUGCAUUGGAUACUGCAAGACUAGAGUACGUCAGAGGGGGGUAGAAUUCCACGUGUAGCAGUGAAAUGCGUAGAGAUGUGGAGGAAUACCGAUGGCGAAGGCAGCCCCCUGGGAUGAUACUGACGCUCAUGCACGAAAGCGUGGGGAGCAAACAG
rnacentral:rRNA from 1 species